rnacentral:rRNA from 1 species
GAUGAACGCUGGCGGCGUGCCUAACACAUGCAAGUCGAACGAGAUGCGUAUCGGAAAGCUUCGGCCGGAAGAUACGUUAUCUAGUGGCGGACGGGUGAGUAACACGUGGGUAACCUGCCUUAUGGAGGGGGAUAACAGAGAGAAAUCACUGCUAAUACCGCAUAAGCACACAGUACCGCAUGGUACAGGGUGAAAAGAUUUAUCGCCAUAAGAUGGACCCGCGUCUGAUUAGCCAGUUGGCAGGGUAAAAGCCUACCAAAGCAACGAUCAGUAGCCGAUCUGAGAGGAUGACCGGCCACAUUGGGACUGAGACACGGCCCAAACUCCUACGGGAGGCAGCAGUGGGGAAUAUUGGACAAUGGGGGAAACCCUGAUCCAGCGACGCCGCGUGAGUGAAGAAGUAUUUCGGUAUGUAAAGCUCUAUCAGCAGGGAAGAAAAUGACGGUACCUGACUAAGAAGCCCCGGCUAACUACGUGCCAGCAGCCGCGGUAAUACGUAGGGGGCAAGCGUUAUCCGGAUUUACUGGGUGUAAAGGGAGCGCAGACGGCAAUGCAAGUCUGAAGUGAAAGGCGUGGGCUCAACCCAUGAACUGCUUUGGAAACUGUAUAGCUUGAGUGUCGGAGGGGUAAGCGGAAUUCCUAGUGUAGCGGUGAAAUGCGUAGAUAUUAGGAGGAACACCGGAGGCGAAGGCGGCUUACUGGACGACAACUGACGUUGAGGCUCGAAGGCGUGGGGAGCAAACAGG